AUUGAACGCUGGCGGCAGGCCUAACACAUGCAAGUCGAACGAGUGGCGGACGGGUGAGUAAUGUCUGGGAAACUGCCUUAUGGAGGGGGAUAACUACUGGAAACUGUAGCUAAUACCGCAUACCAUCGGAUGUGCCCAGGUGGGAUUAGCUAGUAGGUGGGGUAAAGGCUCACCUAGCCGACGAUCCCUAGCUGGUCUGAGAGGAUGACCAGCCACACUGGAACUGAGACACGGUCCAGACUCCUACGGGAGGCAGCAGUGGGGAAUAUUGCACAAUGGGCGCAAGCCUGAUGCAGCCAUGCCGCGUGUAUGAAGAAGGCCUUCGGGUUGUAAAGUACUUUCAGCGGGGAGGCGUUAACCGCAGAAGAAGCACCGGCUAACUCCGUGCCAGCAGCCGCGGUAAUUC
rnacentral:rRNA from 1 species